UUCCGAUUCUGUGUCUCCCUCUCUCUCUGCCCCUCCCCCGUUCAUGCUCUGUCUCUCUCUGUCCCAAAAAUAAAUAAAAACGUUGGGAAAAAAAAUUAAAAAAAAAUAUCAUGUCCAUUGAUUUAUAAAGAGGGGUAACAUUAAAUAUUUGGAUUUCAUAUUACAAAAAAUGAAUAUUCUUCAUAACAAUAAAAACAACGCAAGAUGUGUAAAGAAAAAGUUCAUGGUCUCCCUGCCCUCCUUCCUCUCACUGACCCUCAAAGCCAACAGACUGGGUUUGAGCCUUCCAUGCCUUUCACUGGCUCAUACAAGCAGUUACAUACAAGCAUUUACAUACAGACAUUUACAUACAGCAUUUACAUACAUGCAUUUACAUACAAGCAUUUACAUAGAAGCAUUUACACACAUGAAGGAGGUUGCUUGCUUGCUUCUGCCAGAGUGGAAUUAUACCAUUCCUAUGAUUCCUCAAUUCACUUUUGUUGCUUAAUUAUUAAUCAUGACCAUCAUAUAAGUCAGUAGAUGCAACUCUAACCAUAUUUGUCCUAGUUUCUUUAGUGUAAUUUUACAAAAAUGGGAUGACUCACAUGAAUUUUUGAUGCAGUCUUUUUCUUUUCUUGUGUAAACCUUUCUAGCUUUUCCUCUACCGCCCUAUCAAGUUUUAACUUUUUAUUGGUAUAUUGUAUUAUAUGACUAGCAGACCUAUCACAUGGAUAUUUUUUUCUUUUCUAUAUGUGGAAACUAUAUCGCUAAUGAUUUGAGAUGAGAUAGAAGCUUUCAGUGUUUCCGAGCCAAGGAAGAUGAAAGGGUGAAGUUGUGAUCAUACAUUAUUCUGGAGAUCUCUACUGAACGUGAACAUGGGCAGCUGAAUGCAGAGGGCUGAUGAGGCUUCAUCCCUUAGGAGUUCCCUCUCCUGAAAGCUUCUUUUGAGAAAGCCACCUGUUUCCACCAUUGGUCACCAAAGCAAAUUUACAUAACAGCCUCAAGAUCAUUACAGGCCCGCAAAGUUCCCGGAAAGGGAAAAGUCCGCGGGUGAGGAAUGCUCUCACACUUACUGUCGCCGCAGUUCUCCUCAUCAGAGCCGUCCCUGCAGUCCUCGUCUCCGUCACACUGGAAAGAGCUAGGGAUACACUGUCCGCUCCUGCACUCCAUCAGACCCUGGCUGUGACAAGCUGCGGAGGCCAGAAUAAUAUUCGCUGCACUGAUUUGUACUUCUGUCUGCGGAUCGUAGACAGGAUUCCCGCUUAUCUGGCAUUACCAAGAAAUGAAACGUUCUAUCUGCAUGUUCCACGUAAAUGAA